rnacentral:misc_RNA from 1 species
AAUGCUAUUGUCAAAUGUAUGCUCCAAAACUAGCUUUUCCGCUUAGAAAACCUGCAUCAUGGCAGCAAGCAAUCCUUACAAAUGCUACAUCUCCCAAUUAUCUUCUAAUACACAUUGAUUUGAAAAAUAAUUAAUAAUGCAGUGACUUUUCCCUAUUUUGCAAAACUAUGCACUUUGGACUCUUCAGAAGGCUCGACUGAUAUAUGCUACUGAUGUCAUUUGUUCACAUCAGGGGAGGAACCAUCAGUUUUUAUCUGCUUUUGAUCAGGCAAGGCUGAUUUUGCUCGAGUUUCCCCUUCAUUAGAGGGAUUUGUCUUUUCCCGAGUGUUAUGAGUCCCUGGCUUGGUUGUUGCAGGUUCUUUGACAGCAUUGUCGAUUGGCCUAUCUGCAACAUCACCUGAUUGUUUCUUGGACUCGACUACAAUUUCUUUUAAGGUCUCCUCCAACUUAUCUAGUCUUGCUUUCACCUCAGAAAGUUGUGGAUCAGUCCCUUGUUGUUUUUCCUCCUCAGCCAUCAAUUCCAG